rnacentral:misc_RNA from 1 species
AAGACUAUAGACCUGCGGAGUACCUGCGGAGGGAUCAUUAACGUAUCUAUGAUGGGGUGCGGAGCGCCCUGCUCCGGUCGAACGGCCGUGCAGCGGGUGCACCGCCCCCGUCCCACCUCACAAACCCACUGUGAACAUUCACCGGUGGAGGGGGCUCGGUCUGCGCCGUGUCCCCGAUGCCGAAUACCCAAACUCCAGUUGCAAAGAACGUCGUGCGGACUCGGUGCCGCCUAAAACAUG